AAGUCGUAACAAGGUUUCCGUAGGUGAACCUGCGGAAGGAUCAUUAACCGUUACAAACAGUGUGUGAUGCGGCCGCCGAGGUGAAUAGCCUCUGGUUGGUAUGGGGUUCGCCCCUUCACGCUCACGCGUCUGCCAUCCUUACUUUACGAGCACCUUCUGUUCUCCCUCGGCAAGGGCCUCGCCCUGCCGUUGGAACUACAAAACUCUUUUUUGCAUCUAGCAUUACCUGUUCCGACAAAAACAAUCGUUUACAACUUUCAACAAUGGAUCUCUUGGCUCUG
rnacentral:misc_RNA from 2 species